rnacentral:siRNA from 1 species
UAAUCAAAUAAAUGAGUUGGCUU